UGAUAUCGACGACCACAACUAGCUCAAUUUGUCGGUGCUGAUUAUGGUGUUGGUUUUAACCGACAGUUAAGGGACUUAGUCGAUUUGAUCAUUGAGGACACUUCCUCCCCACCCGAGCUCACAAAAAAACCAAAGCAUCAGAUGAAAUUCUAAUUGUACCCUCAUUAAUCCCCCCAUUUUCUUCUUUCCCCUCUUCGAUUUUAACAUUUUCUCAUCAAAUCAACCCCCAUUGAAACCUUAAAAACCUUUUUCCUUGCCUUGGUCCUUUCGUUGCCGACCCCUUGCUGUCAUCUCCACUAGCUUUCUUGCCAAUGCCGUCGUCGUCCUCUUCGCCACCAGUCAUCUCUUGCUGAGUUGCUGUCAUCUCAUCUUCAAGUGCUCAUUCGAAGGAGUUCAAAUUAGAGAAAGAAAGCUACUCUCAUAUUCAAGGCAAAACAUUAGGUGUCGCAGUGCUAAAGGAUGGAGGCUACAGUGCCAAAGCAAGAGCUCAAAAAAAAAAAAAAGUAGAACCUUGGGCGUCGUAGCAUGGGGAAGUAGCGCUGCAGCGUCGACACGAUAAGCCUCUUAGGCAUAAAUUUCUGCAUUGAUUUCGAGUAUGAUUCUGAGCCUUAUUUAAAGGCCUUUUCAAAGCACUUGAAGGCAAGAAUAAAGAUAGAUUUUCUUUGAAGAAAAAGAGCCGUUAAGCAAUAAAAAAAAAAAGCAAGCAAGACAGCGAGGAAAAACUCUAGAAGAUUAAAGAUCGAAGACCUGAUAAAUCUUAGUUUUCUUUUCUUCUUUAGUUCUUUUUAUAUUUUCCUUGUUUAGUGUUGAUGGUUAAACUUUUUUGAUUAAUGUUUUUAGUAGUUAUGAGGAACUAAAUUUCUUAUCUAGAAUUGCAAUUGAACCCAACAAGUAAUUUGAAUUUUUAA